AUUGAACGCUGGCGGCAUGCCUUACACAUGCAAGUCGAACGGUAACGGGCCUUCGGGUGCCGACGAGUGGCGAACGGGUGAGUAAUGUAUCGGAACGUACCUUUCAGUGGGGGAUAACGUAGCGAAAGUUACGCUAAUACCGCAUAUUCUGUGAGCAGGAAAGCAGGGGAUCGCAAGACCUUGCGCUGAUUGAGCGGCCGAUAUCAGAUUAGCUAGUUGGUGAGGUAAAGGCUCACCAAGGCGACGAUCUGUAGCGGGUCUGAGAGGAUGAUCCGCCACACUGGAACUGAGACACGGUCCAGACUCCUACGGGAGGCAGCAGUGGGGAAUUUUGGACAAUGGGGGCAAGCCUGAUCCAGCCAUGCCGCGUGAGUGAAGAAGGUCUUCGGGUUGUAAAGCUCUUUCGGCCGGGAAGAAAUCGCAUGGGUUAAUACCCUGUGCGGAUGACGGUACCGGCAUAAGAAGCACCGGCUAACUACGUGCCAGCAGCCGCGGUAAUAC
rnacentral:rRNA from 1 species